rnacentral:rRNA from 1 species
UGGGGAAUAUUGGACAAUGGGCGCAAGCCUGAUCCAGCCAUGCCGCGUGAGUGAUGAAGGCCCUAGGGUUGUAAAGCUCUUUCACCGGUGAAGAUAAUGACGGUAACCGGAGAAGAAGCCCCGGCUAACUUCGUGCCAGCAGCCGCGGUAAUACGAAGGGGGCUAGCGUUGUUCGGAUUUACUGGGCGUAAAGCGCACGUAGGCGGAAUUUUAAGUCAGGGGUGAAAUCCCGGGGCUCAACCCCGGAACUGCCUUUGAUACUGGAAGUCUUGAGUAUGGUAGAGGUGAGUGGAAUUCCGAGUGUAGAGGUGAAAUUCGUAGAUAUUCGGAGUAACACCAGUGGCGAAGGCGGCUCACUGGACCAUUACUGACGCUGAGGUGCGAAAGCGUGGGGAGCAAACAGG